UUAAGUUAGAAAGGGCGCACGGUGGAUGCCUUGGCACUAGGAGCCGAUGAAGGACGGGACGAACACCGAUAUGCUUCGGGGAGCUGUAAGCAAGCUUUGAUCCGGAGAUUUCCGAAUGGGGAAACCCACCACUCGUAAUGGAGUGGUAUCCAUAUCUGAAUACAUAGGAUAUGAGAAGGCAGACCCGGAGAACUGAAACAUCUAAGUACCCGGAGGAAGAGAAAGCAAAUGCGAUUCCCUGAGUAGCGGCGAGCGAAACGGGACCAGCCCAAACCAAGAGGCUUGCCUCUUGGGGUUGUAGGACACUCUGUACGGAGUUACAAAGGAACGAGGUAGAUGAAGAGGUCUGGAAAGGCCCGCCAUAGGAGGUAACAGCCCUGUAGUCAAAACUUCGUUCUCUCCUGAGUGGAUCCUGAGUACGGCGGAACACGUGAAAUUCCGUCGGAAUCCGGGAGGACCAUCUCCCAAGGCUAAAUACUCCCUAGUGACCGAUAGUGAACCAGUACCGUGAGGGAAAGGUGAAAAGCACCCCGGAAGGGGAGUGAAAGAGAUCCUGAAACCGUGUGCCUACAAGUAGUCAGAGCCCGUUAACGGGUGAUGGCGUGCCUUUUGUAGAAUGAACCGGCGAGUUACGAUCCCGUGCAAGGUUAAGCAGAAGAUGCGGAGCCGCAGCGAAAGCGAGUCUGAAUAGGGCGAAUUGAGUACGUGGUCGUAGACCCGAAACCAGGUGAUCUACCCAUGUCCAGGGUGAAGUUCAGGUAACACUGAAUGGAGGCCCGAACCCACGCACGUUGAAAAGUGCGGGGAUGAGGUGUGGGUAGGGGUGAAAUGCCAAUCGAACCUGGAGAUAGCUGGUUCUCUCCGAAAUAGCUUUAGGGCUAGCCUCAAGGUAAGAGUCUCGGAGGUAGAGCACUGAUUGGACUAGGGGCCCCUACCGGGUUACCGAAUUCAGUCAAACUCCGAAUGCCGAUGACUUAUCCUUGGGAGUCAGACUGCGAGUGAUAAGAUCCGUAGUCGAAAGGGAAACAGCCCAGACCGCCAGCUAAGGUCCCAAAGUAUACGUUAAGUGGAAAAGGAUGUGGAGUUGCUUAGACAACCAGGAUGUUGGCUUAGAAGCAGCCACCAUUUAAAGAGUGCGUAAUAGCUCACUGGUCGAGUGACUCUGCGCCGAAAAUGUACCGGGGCUAAACGUAUCACCGAAGCUGCGGACUGUUCUUCGAACAGUGGUAGGAGAGCGUUCUAAGGGCUGUGAAGCAAGACCGGAAGGACUUGUGGAGCGCUUAGAAGUGAGAAUGCCGGUAUGAGUAGCGAAAGAGGGGUGAGAAUCCCCUCCACCGAAUGCCUAAGGUUUCCUGAGGAAGGCUCGUCCGCUCAGGGUUAGUCGGGACCUAAGCCGAGGCCGAAAGGCGUAGGCGAUGGAUAACAGGUUGAUAUUCCUGUACCACCUCCUCACCAUUUGAGCAAUGGGGGGACGCAGGAGGAUAGGGUAAGCGCGGUAUUGGAUAUCCGCGUCCAAGCAGUUAGGCUGGGAAAUAGGCAAAUCCGUUUCCCGUGAAGGCUGAGCUGUGAUGGCGAGCGAAUUAUAGUAGCGAAGUUCCUGAUUCCACACUGCCAAGAAAAGCCUCUAGCGAGGUGAGAGGUGCCCGUACCGCAAACCGACACAGGUAGGCGAGGAGAGAAUCCUAAGGUGAUCGAGAGAACUCUCGUUAAGGAACUCGGCAAAAUGACCCCGUAACUUCGGGAGAAGGGGUGCUCUGUUAGGGUGCAAGCCCGAGAGAGCCGCAGUGAAUAGGCCCAGGCGACUGUUUAGCAAAAACACAGGUCUCUGCGAAGCCGUAAGGCGAAGUAUAGGGGCUGACGCCUGCCCGGUGCUGGAAGGUUAAGAGGAGCGCUUAGCGUAAGCGAAGGUGCGAAUUGAAGCCCCAGUAAACGGCGGCCGUAACUAUAACGGUCCUAAGGUAGCGAAAUUCCUUGUCGGGUAAGUUCCGACCCGCACGAAAGGCGCAACGAUCUGGGCACUGUCUCAACGAGAGACUCGGUGAAAUUAUAGUACCUGUGAAGAUGCAGGUUACCCGCGACAGGACGGAAAGACCCCGUGGAGCUUUACUGCAGCCUGAUAUUGAAUGUUGGUACAGCUUGUACAGGAUAGGUAGGAGCCUUGGAAACCGGAGCGCCAGCUUCGGUGGAGGCAUCGGUGGGAUACUACCCUGGCUGUAUUGACCUUCUAACCCGCCGCCCUUAUCGGGCGGGGAGACAGUGUCAGGUGGGCAGUUUGACUGGGGCGGUCGCCUCCUAAAAGGUAACGGAGGCGCCCAAAGGUUCCCUCAGAAUGGUUGGAAAUCAUUCGCAGAGUGUAAAGGCACAAGGGAGCUUGACUGCGAGACCUACAAGUCGAGCAGGGACGAAAGUCGGGCUUAGUGAUCCGGUGGUUCCGCAUGGAAGGGCCAUCGCUCAACGGAUAAAAGCUACCCCGGGGAUAACAGGCUUAUCUCCCCCAAGAGUCCACAUCGACGGGGAGGUUUGGCACCUCGAUGUCGGCUCAUCGCAUCCUGGGGCUGUAGUCGGUCCCAAGGGUUGGGCUGUUCGCCCAUUAAAGCGGUACGCGAGCUGGGUUCAGAACGUCGUGAGACAGUUCGGUCCCUAUCCGUCGCGGGCGCAGGAAAUUUGAGAGGAGCUGUCCUUAGUACGAGAGGACCGGGAUGGACGCACCGCUGGUGUACCAGUUGUUCUGCCAAGGGCAUCGCUGGGUAGCUAUGUGCGGACGGGAUAAGUGCUGAAAGCAUCUAAGCAUGAAGCCCCCCUCAAGAUGAGAUUUCCCAUUCCGCAAGGAAGUAAGAUCCCUGAAAGAUGAUCAGGUUGAUAGGUCUGAGGUGGAAGUGUGGCGACACAUGGAGCUGACAGAUACUAAUCGAUCGAGGACUUAACCAA
rnacentral:rRNA from 1 species